rnacentral:rRNA from 1 species
UGAGGAAUCUUGCGCAAUGGGGGAAACCCUGACGCAGCCACGCCGCGUGGAGGAAGACGGCCCUACGGGUUGUAAACUCCUUUUCUGGCCGAAGAACCCGGUCCUUUCGGGGACCGCUGACGGUAGGUCAGGAAUAAGCACCGGCUAACUCCGUGCCAGCAGCCGCGGUAAUACGGAGGGUGCAAGCGUUGUCCGGAAUCAUUGGGUGUAAAGGGUACGCAGGCGGGCGUCUGCGUCCGGGGUGAAAUCCUGCCGCUUAACGGUAGAAGGGCCUCGGAUACGAGACGUCUUGAGACCAGCAGAGGCUGGCGGAAUUCGUGGUGUAGCGGUGAAAUGCAUAGAUAUCACGAAGAACACCAGUGGCGAAAGCGGCCAGCUGGGCUGGAUCUGACGCUGAGGUACGAAAGCGUGGGGAGCAAACA